rnacentral:rRNA from 1 species
UACGUAGGUGGCAAGCGUUGUCCGGAAUUACUGGGCGUAAAGCGUGCGUAGACGGUUAUGUAAGUCAGGUGUGAAAGCCCCGGGCUCAAGCUGGGAAUUGCAUUUGAGACUGCAUAGCUAGGGUGCGGAAGAGGGAAGCGGAAUUUCCGGUGUAGCGGUGAAAUGCGUAGAUAUCGGAAGGAACAUCAGUGGCGAAAGCGGCUUCCUGGUCCAGCACCGACGUUCAGGCACGAAAGCGUGGGGAGCAAACAGG